UACGUAGGAGGCAAGCGUUGUCCGGAAUUACUGGGCGUAAAGCGCGUGUAGGUGGUGGGACAAGUCUGCUGUGAAAGCGCCUGGCUUAACCGGGCGAGGUCGGCGGAAACUGUUCGACUCGAGGACGGUAGAGGGGGUGGAAUUCCCGGUGUAGUGGUGAAAUGCGUAGAGAUCGGGAGGAACACCUGUCGGCGAAGGCGGCCCC
rnacentral:rRNA from 1 species